AGUGAACGCUGGCGGCAGGCCUAAUACGUGCAAGUCGAACGGCAGCACAGCAGAGCUUGCUCUGUGGGAGGCGAGUGGCGGACGGGUGAGGAAUACGUGGGAAUCUGCUAAGUCGUGGGGGAUAACGUAGGGAAACUUACGCUAAUACCGCAUGCGCCCUUCGGGGGAAAGCCGGGGACCUUCGGGCCUGGCGCCGUUGGAUGAGCCGACGUCGGAUUAGCUAGUUGGCGGGGUAAAGGCCCACCAAGGCGACGAUCCGUAGCUGGUCUGAAAGGAUGAUCAGCCACACUGGAACUGAGACACGGUCCAGACUCCUACGGGAGGCAGCAGUAGGGAAUAUUGGACAAUGGGCGCAAGCCUGAUCCAGCCAUGCCGCGUGAGUGAAGAAGGCCCUCGGGUUGUAAAGCUCUUUUGUCCGGAAAGAAAAGCGCCGGGUUAAUACCCUGGUGUCCUGACGGUACCGGAAGAAUAAGCACCGGCUAACUUCGUGCCAGCAGCCGCGGUAAAAC
rnacentral:rRNA from 1 species